rnacentral:tRNA from 1 species
GGUCUCAUGGUGUAAUGGUUAGCACUCUGGACUCUGAAUCCAGCGAGCCGAGUUCAAAUCUCGGUGAGGUCU